GGUCAAGCAUGGUGUAGUGGUCUGAGUGUUGGACUGAGACUCGGAAGACUAGGGUUCGAUUCCCGGCUCGGCCA